rnacentral:rRNA from 1 species
AUACGUAGGGGGCUAGCGUUAUCCGGAAUUACUGGGCGUAAAGGGUGCGUAGGUGGUUUCUUAAGUCAGAAGUGAAAGGCUACGGCUCAACCGUAGUAAGCUUUUGAAACUAAGAGACUUGAGUGCAGGAGAGGAGAGUAGAAUUCCUAGUGUAGCGGUGAAAUGCGUAGAUAUUAGGAGGAAUACCAGUUGCGAAGGCGGCUCUCUGGACUUUAACUGACACUGAGGCACGAAACCGUGGGGAGCAAACGGGAUUAGAUACCCUGGUAGUCCACGCCGUAAACGAUGAGUACUAGCUGUCGGGGGUUACCCCCCUCGGUGGCGCAGCUAACGCAUUAAGUACUCCGCCUGGGAAGUACGCUCGCAAGAGUGAAACUCAAAUGAAUUGACGGGG